GGCAAAAUUAUCCCUGCCCUCCGUCCGUUAACAGAUGCAAAAUUCAAAUUCGAAGUCAAUUGCCAACAGUAACAUGCCAAGGCUAAUGGAGUUCUAGGAAUUGGUAUCAACUUUAUAAAGUAAUGGUUCUGUGACAACUGCGGUGAAAAACCUUACCUAGCGACUGUCUACGUCCGAUUUUAUUGUUCCCGGAGAAAAGCUGUAAAACUCGAGUCAGUCGAUAUGGGCAUAGAUUAACUGGAUUAACUAUGCAGGCUUUUUCCAGUAGGAAUUAGAAAAUUGGCAAUCAAAGGUCCCAUUGCCGUUACUGAAGAAAGUAGGAUCCUCACAAUUCCUGGCACAAAUCCGCGGUACAGAUAAGGGUAAAACUUUAAAAUACUUUAAAUUUUCCAAAAACUGUUUUCGAAACGUUAAACUUUGAAUUCAGAAACGAAAAAUUUAGAACGGUGCAACUUUACUUUUUUAUUCAUUAAGCAUUAAGUAUUUAUCAGUGUUUUUUUAUCCGUGAUUUAAGCAUCCAGCAAUUUACACCGUUUACACCGUUCUCUUGACAGCGAGAGAAGAAAGACCGAUGUAAACAAAACGAAAAUAGCUCGCAUGAUUCCAUUUGUUUGUUUCGGUUCUCGGUUUUGUGCCUUUUGUGCCGGCCCUCACUUGACUGCCAAUUGUAAGAUUUUUAUUCGAACCGAUCCACCUGAGGAACGAACGAAAAUCGAGCCGAAUUUUAGCCGUUUUUACGGUCUGGGAAAUGUCAACAUCGUCAACGUUCCCGUUCCACGUCUUUUUCAUCAUAACAUUAGACGCAGACACAACACAAAAGAUUCGUGGCUGCACAAUAAACUGUCUAAGAUUGUUGCAAAAGCUGAUAGUGGACCGUUUCUUCUCCCAACAAUCCAGUCGAUGGGUCGGAAGGCGAGAGUAAAGUUUUGGUGUGGCCGAGGGCAAAUUAAAUCGGCUGCUUACACCGAUUAGUGAGUUUUGAUGGAGCUAGAUAAACCGAUUAUGCCAUGGUCACACUAAAUCGUGAACCGGUCAGGAACUUGACCCUGGACUCGCAUAACUUAAAGCCAUCUCAAAAACUCUGAAUGAUCUACAACUAGUGGGAUGAUUCUUGCAUCGUCUUCGAAACCCGUAUUCUGUCCUGUCCCGUAAUUAUGGAAAUGUGAUUACAAGUAGAUGCCAGAACGCAUAAGGGAACUUUGGUUCAAGCUGCAAGAUGAUUGAUUAAGGCUGUUUGGAUCACAAGACCGUAAAAGCUGCGAUAAUCAAUGGACGUCCGUCAGCCGGAGGCUCUCUGUUGUCUUUGCCUUGCGAGUACCGUGUGAUGCUGCCAAAAUCCACGAUCAGUCUGAACAAAACCCAGCUGGGCAUGGUGAUUCCCAUAUUGUAAUGGUCACGAUUCGUAACACAAUCUCUCAUUUAGGAACCAUGCUGACGCUGACCGAUAAAAUUGAGUUUUCCGGGAGUUGAGCAUAGUUUCUAUCAAUGAGUGAAAUACAUCCAAUCCAAUUCCUGUGGAUUCCUAGGAACAGCUGUUUUAUAAUCGGAAAGUACAAAUUUUAUUUUAUAUAAAUUAGAUCUCCAGGGUAAUUUCUAAUAACUAAAUAUUCCGUAAUACCUAUCAGAGGAUCGAAAACAUUUCAUUGAUUUAAACUAUAAUUUGUUUAUAUAUUUGAUUCCAGAUUCGGAUAAAAGCUGGGUAUCCUGCCAGAUUGGCAAACACUAUACAAACCCACAGUGGUGUCUUGCUGAAAUUAUUUCUAGCACACUGUUAAUGAUCGGAAUCGGUGCAAUACUAUCGAUUGUUGGCGAACUCUGAAUAGAUAUCGAUUGCUCGCGGAAGCUAUAGUGGUAGCCAAAACUUUGUUGCCUAGUUGGUCAGCCAGAAGUGGAGAAGAUGAGCGACGAUAAAUUGCUUCAACGAAAACCGAAGAUUACCGCUGAAUUCAUGGUUCAUAUCCGGAGCGUGAAAACAAUUAACGUAGAUGGAUUAGAUCAAAUUGGAGAUCUUCAGAACUUCCGGACCCAAUCCGAGGUGGUAUUCUGGAUAUUUUUUUUUCGAUUUUCGGUGUGACGCUUCAAUAGGGCAGACUGGGCAACACAUCGGCAGCUGGAGCCCUGGAGCAGUUUUUAGUAGCAUCCAUGACCAGUUUAGAGCCGCAUUAGCUUUAAAGCUUCCACAUUCCAAACUACAUCUACCCGAUCGGAUACAAAACAAUGCGCUUCUCUAUUGGUCCAUGCGAAGGCCAAAUAAAAGGUGCAGCUACGUGUGUUCGAUGGCUGACGUUGGUGAUCGACCGGAGUUCCGAGAACUGAUCCAAGAACCAGGUGAAGAGGACAUGGAAUAACGCGAUAGCUCGCCGAAAAGCGUGUGGCAACGAAUUCUCGACCCGGUGGUAAACUUGCGCCGUGGUGCUUUUUCCGAAAUAUAUUACGGGAGAGGACCUCUUUGGUUUAACCUGAGCCUGUUGUAGUUCGCAUACUUGAAAGUCUACCCGGGAUCGAAACGCUAACGGAAUAUAGGUUCAAAUAUGGUAGGAAAUAAAUUGUACAUACGAAUAAAAUUUUGUUUUAUUCAACAAUGAGAUUUCACUAUAUCAUAGAUAAUCAAAACAAUGAAAUUGCGUGCAUAUUGUUUUACAGGUAGCUUGGAAGUACAGGUCACUUGCAAUUACAGCCAGCUUGCAAUAACAGGUCGCUUGCAAUUACAGGUCACUUGAAUUUACAGGCCUGUAAUUUUAUAUAGUCACGGAAAAAUAAAUGUCUUCGACCUGUAAAAUAACGGUAAAUGUCCUGCUC